GACGAACGCUGGCGGCGUGCCUAAUACAUGCAAGUCGAACGCAGUGGGGACGGGUGAGUAAAACGUGGGUAACCUCCCAUCAGAGGGGAUAACACUUGGAAACAGGUGCUAAACCGAUACUGAUGGAUGGACCCGCGGUGCAUUAGGUAGUGGGGGGGGUAACGGCGCACCAAGGCCACGAUGCAUAGCGGGCCUGAGAGGGGGACCGGCCAACCGGGGACUGAGACACGGUCCAGACUCCUACGGGAGGCAGCAGUAGGGAAUCUUCGGCAAUGGAGGAAAGUCUGACCGAGCAACGCCGCGUGAGUGAAGAAGGUUUUCGGAUCGUAAAACUCUGUUGUUAGAGAAGCGGUAUCUAACCAGAAAGCCACGGCUAACUACGUGCCAGCCGCCGCGGUAAUAC
rnacentral:rRNA from 1 species